rnacentral:tRNA from 1 species
GCCCAGCCAGUCUGGUGGAUAUGAUCCUUGGCUUGUAACCGAGGGGGUUCGAGUUCGAAUCCCGAGUAAGGCA